rnacentral:rRNA from 1 species
AUGAAGGGGGGAGAGGCGCCGGCGCCGGCGGCGACGGUGGUGGUGGGGGAGGAGCACUGCGAGGCGGAGGACAGGGAGCUGACGGUGCGCAAGACCACGCUCUUCUCCCCGGGGGACGGGCUGGAGGCCUACGACCACCGCACGGGCGCGCUGGCCUUCCGCCUCGAGACGUACGGCCGGGGAGGCGCCUGCGGCGGGGGCGCGGCGGCGGGGGACCUGGCGCUGCUGGGCGCCGCGGGGGACCCCGUGCUCACCGUCCGCAGGCGCCGCCCCAGCCUGCACCACCGCUGGGACGGCUUCCUGGGCGACGGGGGGGCCGCGGGCGGCGCCAAGCCGCUCUUCUCCGCGCGCCGCUCCUCCAUCCUCGGCGCCGGGGCCGGGGUCCUCGUCGACCUCCUCGCCCCCGCCCACUCCCCCGCCGCCAAGGAGUUCCGCGUCGACGGGUCCUUCCCCAGGCGGUGCUGCCGCGUGGUGGCGGUGGCCUCCUCGGGCGGCGCGGGCGAGGUGGAGGAGGGGGAGGACCAGGAGACGGUGGUGGCGGAGGUGCGCAGGAAGGUGGACGAGGGCGCGCACGUGGUGCUCGGCCGCGACGUGUUCGUGCUGUGGGUGCGCGCCGGCUUCGACGCCGCCUUCGCCAUGGGGAUCGUGCUCGUGCUCGGCCGCAUCACCGGGGACGAGCUCGACGGCGCCCUCGGCGAGGAGCUGCUCCUCGAGGCCACCUCGCCGGUGUAG